CGCGCUCGGCUGUCAGCUUCGUUGCGCUGGUUCCGCUCCCUUGCGGCGACCCGCCCCGUGUCUGGACCGGGGAGGAGCAGACGCUGGACGGGGGGCUUCCUGAAGACUGUGUGACUAUCGAAGUUCUCAACUCAAAAGAUACUACUUCAGACUCUCUGAUGACUGUUAUGAGUGGGGUGGCAGAAUGAAAAAGAUAUACAAUGAAAAAGGAGAAAAAUUCAACCCAGAAUCUCUUGCUAGAGUUUCGGAGAGAGGGCUGGUAAUUCCCAGGAAGAGGCAUGGAGGACUUGGGUGAGGCUGCUACACCCAAACGGUGGUGUAUGUGGCGAUGGAGGAUCGGACCCACAAACUCCAGAACAGAGCUUUGUAAAAUGUGUGUGGGCAGCUCUGAGGCCUUGGACAAGGCAUCAGUUUCCUCAUUUGUAAAAGGUGAUUUAUGGAAAGCAUCUGGUACAUGGUGAGUGCUUUAUAAGUAGGAGUUAUUUUCCUAACAUCCCCUUUUUAUUUGAAGCUCCAAAAAAAGUUAAAACAUCUUACCUGCCACACUCUUUCUAUUAAUACCAGAUGCCUUUCCCAAGGGAGAGAGAGGGGGCAAGUCAGACUUCCUGGGAGGAGAGAAGGAAAUGGGCUGAUGAUUGGACUGCACAGUACAGCCCAUGGGAUCGCUCAGCUGCAGAGCUGGGGCCUGCAUCUGCAGGGUCCAUGGCCUUGCCACCCAUUCUGACAGGAUUGGGAGCUGCUCUGGACUUCCUUUCAAUUUCCCCUUAAGAAGUGUUGUGUCUUAAGGAGCUACAAAGGGAUGAUCCAUAUUGGAGGGGCUCCCAUAGUCUGUCUCCAGUCUGUGUGGCUUUCUGCCCUCAGCCGCUGUGAUUUCCCAAGGCCCUGGAACCUAGGGUUUCCUCUCUCUACCCCUGUCCUCCACUGAUUGUCAGAGUUCAGUUCCAGCAGGGGGCAGGCAUCUUGUGUCUUGUGAGCAAGUGGAGGCUUGGAGUAUGACUAAACAUAUUGGUUAUACUUUUUGUUUUCAUAAAACAAAGGAUAGAAAGAAAACUCCAUAAAAUUUUGGCUAGGGGGUGACAUGCAGAAAAUAAUAAGAAAAAAAUGAACUGAUAAUUAAAUGAUUUUAUUGAAUGCUUAUUCUGUAUCAGGUACUGAUUUGGACCCUUUCUAUACAUUAAUGUGCAAGUGCUUCAAGGUAGGUGCCAUUAUUACCCCCAAAUUUCAAAUGAGGAAACUGAAGCACAGACACAGCUCGCCUAUGGCCAUUCAGAGCCAGGAUUUAAAGCAGGCAGACAGACUCCAGAGCCAGUGUUCUAGUGAGAGACCAUUGUAGGAGGCAUAGAUUUUUUAAAAACUUGUGAAACCCUGUACUGUUUACAGUGACAGGACUUCAAAUUCCUACUUCUUCCCCAAAUAAAUUUAAAGCCCACAAUGGGCUUUAAAUAUUGCUUUUUUGGGGAAAGAAAGAAACUAGAAUAUUCAGAAAACACAAAAUCAUUUAUAGAAUAAAAUAAAUAGCAUGUAACCCCUAUUACCGUGAGAAAAGCUCAAAGAAGAGCUGAAAUUUAAUAUGCUCAGCAGUUUUCUCCCAAUAGGCGAAUAAUCAAAAUGGGAAAGUAAAUUAUGAGCAGUAGGUUGCUUGAUGGGCAUGGAGUCAGAGGGAGUGAAUGGAUCAUUAAUUUGUUCACAACACUUUGGGCCUGUUGCCUGUGAGGCACACUGUGUUGGAUGCUUAGGAUGUAGUGGAGAAUGAGGUGACACAUUGCAAUUUAGCGGCUCAUGUAUGUGUGUGGUGGAAUUAAUCUAGGGUGGCUGCAGUCACACUGUGGGCCUAGAGUACUCGUGAUUUGGUGGCUUAAGGUCCUUGUGUCCCUGACUGCAGGGAUGGGCACUGCUGCCCUUUGCCUCUCUGGCUUCUUUUUUCAUGUUCUUUGAAGUUGGAAAAUUUCUCCAUUUGUGAUUAAAGAAGUUGACGCUACAGGCCUCUAAGCUUCCCUUCAGCCCUUCAUGACAUGUGCUGGUUUUUGGUCACAGGGAUCUCAGUCUCCGAGCACAGGCUCAGGCAUAUCCUGAACCCAGUGAAUGGUCAGAUCUUGCCCCAAGUUUACAUUCAUUCUACUCUCUGAGGUGAUGAAGCCUCAUUACUUAAUGUCUGUGCAGUACUUCAGAUACUAUGACAGCCAAGGUCAGAGGCACAUUUUGUUGGAAGAGGCUAUUUCUAUCUAGUAGGUCUGUGAUACAUAAUGAUAAACAGGAUUCCUUUAUUACACUUCCCUUCUAGCUCUGUCAUCUAGGGACUCUGCCGUUUCCCCAAAAGGUAUAUUGAGGAGUAGAAUAUGGCCUUGGUUCUCCACUCAACCAAGUCCCAAGUGAGUUGGGAAUUUUCCUCUUCCCUCUGAAAUCUCAUUUUAAUUCCUAAAGCAAAGAAAUUUCUUUCUCUUAGCAUGAAGCUUGUCAGCCUGUUAGCAUCAGCAGUUUUAAAAGAUAGGAUCAAGUGGGUCCGAUGGACUGCCAACAAAAUGGUGACUGGGUGUUGCUUAGUUGUGUAGAAGUAGCAGUGAAGAUCGGGGCCUUGGCAGUUUCUCCCAUCAGUUGGUAGGAGAGGGCAUGGGGAAUAUGGGGCCUCUUAGCACAUAGUUGAAGAGGAGGACUGAUAGAGGUGGUUGGGUGAGAAUCAAGCUUCCAUUUGUUUACUUGAGACAUCUGGCUCAGAUAAGCAAAGGCAUAUGAGACAGCUCUGCACCUGUUUGCUUAUAAUUUUCUCCGUGGGGAGGAAAGACAUGUAGACAAAUCUGUGUGGUGCAAUACCAGCAGAUUUAAGGAGGCCUACUCAGCAAUAAAGUGCUUUGGGGAAAAUGUGUGAAUUCAGAGAGUGAGCAGGCGGGUCUGGGUAAGAGAGAGGGAAGGCUUUAUUCCUUCAACCAGCCCGACAACCUCCCCACCCCUGCUAAUGGUAGCAGUGAGCUUUGAAGUAGGCCCUGAAGGAUGAGCAGAUUUUUGAGGAGAAAGAUUUGAAAAGUCAGUGACAUAAAUGGCUUAGAAUGGAGAAGAGAUACUACUCUGAGGCAAGAAAAAGAAAGUACAUUGAAAACAUGGGUUUAUUGUCCUACAGAAACUUAAGAGGCUGCCAAUCUGUUUGCAGUGUACUAAUAAUCACACCCAAAGUUCUUUCCUAAAUAUAAUUCUCAAGCUUGGUAUAUUUCUCAGUUUCUUACUUACCAUGCAUGUCUCUUUCUUAAUAUAAUGAAGAUAAGCUUAAGGCCAGCUGAAUGCUAGGCUUGGAUGGGAAGGCCAUAUCCUUAAUCUGAUCUGUUUAAGUCAUUUUGUUCAGCUGAGAAGUUUUAAUGGGCCUUUGUUGCUCAAAUUUCUUUUCAAACUUACUUCCUACUGUAUGAGAUGUAGAAACAGUUUGCUUUUGCAGGCAUAUGAAGCCCCAGAUUUCUGGACUCUGUAUUCCAUUUUUUUUUAGCUUGAAAAUUGGCCAGUCCUUUACUGAGCUCAGCUCUUCUUCUUUGCCAGAUAUAUCCCGCAGCAUCCCACACCAUCUAGCAUUCUGCCUCUUUCCAACCUCCUCCCUGGGAGCCAUAGCCACAGUGAGCUUUUGGUCUGCCUUCACAGUUAUUAAAUUAUUUUGCUAGUAUAUAUCAAGAGCCUACAAUGUUCUAGUUUAAAUAUCCAUCUUCUUGAAACCUGCCACCUGCUUGUCAAGCCAAUGCCACCAUUAUCUUUUAGAUUUUUGUUAUGCUACCUUCCUCUUUUAAGAGGCUGAUUUCUGAAUUAGGGUUGGCUAGCGUAUAAUUAGUAUAACCAGUAGACCCCAAAUAUACAUAGGCCCUAAUAUAAUGGAAGUUUAUUUCUUGUUCUUGUGACCAUAUGAUUGGGUGGCCAUUCAGAACCUUGUUAUGUGAAGCUCUAGUAUCUUUACCACAUGGGUCCCAAACUCACUUUGGGUCAUCUCUACACCAGCCAGCCAGAAGGGGACAGCAUCAUGGAGGAAUGUGUGUUGAGUCAGGCCUGGAAGUGGUGUACCUUCCUUCUGCUUCCAUUCUGUUGGCUAUAAUUCAGUCAAAUGGCCACAUCUAACUACAGAGGAGGUUGGGAAAUGUUUGUGUACCUUGAAAGGUCAGGAGGAAGUGUAUUUUAGUGAGUAAUUAGCAGUUUCUGCCACUCUCCUCAUAUAUUUAGAUUAUUUAGUCUUAUUUUGCUAUUGUAAGUUAUAAUGUUUAUUUCUAACUUUUUUCAUAUUGUGAUCAUUUUCUUAUAAUUAUUUUUAGAUAUGAAAUUGCCAUGUCAAAAGAACGUACAUAUUUUAAGACUCUUAAGCAUACAAGUGAAUAAAAUCUUGCCUUUGAAACCUGUGCGUGCUUGGAUCCAUUUCCUCCCCAUCCCAUCAAUUGCCCCUAAUUAUGCCUCAUUUAACCUUUUCUUCAGAAUCACAUGCAGAAGGUUCAGGGCUUUGUGUCAUUCAAGGAUGUGGCUGUGAAUUUCACUGAGGAAGAAUGGAGUGAACUGGAUCCUUCUCAGAGAGUCUUGUACAGGGACGUGAUGCUAGAGAACUAUAGGCACCUGGUCUCCUUGGGUGAGGUUGGGUGCGCACACCUUGGGUAGGCCUCUUGGAUAGCUUUGCUUUCUAAAGAUGCCCUUGCUCCUGUUAGGGGAAGAUAACAAAUAAGGCUUUGGGUUUUCUUUUUUCUCCUCCAGAAUCCAGAGCUGAUCCUUAAACUGUUUCUCACUCUCUUUGGGUAGAAAUACUCAAUUUCUUCCAACAGUUAGUUAUUCUGUCUUUUGCUCUCAAAAAGAUAACAUAGUGGGACUGUGAAUGGGGUGGUGCUUUGUCUUUUGAAGUCACAUUCUGUUUCUUUCCCUUGAGUAGGAUUUCCAUUUCCUAAGCCUGGUGUCAUCUCCCAAUUGGAACUAGCUGUAAACCCAUGGAUGCAGAAGGGAGAUGUGCUAAGAAGCAGCUUUACACGUCUAUGGAAAUUCUCUUCCCUGAGAUGGAGAACACAAGAGAAGAAGCAAGUUUGUGGUGGAAGCAGUCAGUAGAAGAUGAGUCCUGUUUAUCCUAAGUUGUUUGAAGUGUCUGUAACAGGUCUCAACCAGGGAUGAUUUUGUCCCCAGGGGACACUGGCAGUUUUGAAGACUGGGAGGGGCUAUAGACAUCUUGUGGGUAGAGGCCAAGGAUAUGGCUAAACAGUGCACAAGACAGCCCCUCACAUAAGGCUUGUCUUGCCGAAAUGUCCAUAGUGCUGCAUUUGAGAAAUUCUGGUCUGUGUAGAUGUCUGGGUGGUAGAUGAAUACAAGGAGGAACUGUCAAAUAGGUCUUGAUGAAGGAAAGAGAUCUUAACUAUUGGUACAGAUUUGGGAAUCAUUUGAGAAUAAUGGUCACUGAAGUCAUGGGAUAAGAUCACCCAUAGUGAUCUCACUGUGAAGUGAGAUGCAUGAAAAAAGUUGCAAGUGAAACUCGAAGCCCAAUAAGCAUACACAUUUAAAUAUCUGCUAUCUCUCUAUGUAUCUAUAUCACUGGUAUAAUUGUUCAAAAGUAAAUCAUAGGGAAAAUACUGAUGUCAAAAUAAUACAAUGGUAAUAAUUUUUAAUAAGAUGAUGGCAGUAGAGAUAUAUAAAUUUUUAUAUUCCUUAAAUUUAUCAAUAUAAAUAAAAGAAAGAGAGUCCAGAAGGGAUACUAAGAAAGGGUGACCAGAGUGAGGAGGCAGCCAGGUCUGCUUGUCAUAGAAGCCAGUAGAAAAGAGCAUUUCAAGGGGAGGAAGGGCUUACAGUGUUAUAUGCAAGAGAGAUCAAGUAAAAAAGCUGGAAAGUAUCCAUUAGGUUUAAUAUUAAUAGCUGGCUCGUUGUUUUUGGUAACUUAAUAGUGGAUUAGUCUCUUGCUACCAUCUCUGUCCCUUGCUUAACUUCCAUUGUUUUCUAACUUUUGUACAUUUUCAUACAUUACAUAAGGUUGUCAAAUCUACAUAAGGUUACUUUGAAAAUAGUCCUCAACUUACAAGGACUUAUGUGUUAUGUUUGUUUUACCUAUAAUAUGAAAGAGUACUUAAAAAAUCUCUGAUGAUAAUGUUCCAAUUUUAUAACAAUUAAAAAGUAUGUUGUGUAAUUUACCCAUAAGAAGGCUGAGCUAGUAGUAGGCCUGAUCCCCUGAUCUCAUAAAAUUUUUGCAUUCUCCUGAACUUUGACUCUCUGUAAGCUUUUGGUGCAUGCAUGCAUUUGUGUGUGUGUGUAUGAAAGAUGAAAAAAAGUGAAGGCUGGAGGAAAUCUCUGGCAAAUUGUAACAUGUAGGGUAGCAAAGGAAAAUAUGGGAAAUGAUAUUACUGAAUUUGAUAGUAACCCCAGCAGUAAUCAAGGAGAGUUUCUGGGAGACUGUGCCAGUCAGAGUGGGAUAUAUAGGCAUUGAAUGAUGACCCUAGCUGGGGUGAACUCCAGACAAGGGGCAGGGUAGAGGGUGAUGGUAUCAAAAAGCAGGGAAGAUUCCAGUGGUUCAGAGGCUAGGGUAGUUAGCAUUCUUAUGUUCAAUACCAAUCAUUUCCCAGCUGAGAUCUCCCUAACACAUUAUUUUGUACCAUUGAUCAUGCUUGAAAUGAUUAAUAUCUGUCUGCCUCAGUAGAAUAUAAAUCUCAAAAUAUAUCUGGGACUGUAUCUGUUUUUAUCAUUGAAUCCUAGUACAUUACAUGGUGCCUAGUCUAUAAUAGAUAUCCAAUAACUUAUUUGUUGACUUACAUAUUUGACUACUGGUAUUUAUGCAGUUGUUAUCUCAUUCCUGCUUUAGCCACUUCCUUCUAGUACAGAGAACAUUUUUACUUCCCCUCCCCCCCAGACUUGGAGACCAGAAAGUUGACACCAAAGAUGGAAUUUUCUGAAAAAAAAAUUAUACUGGGGGAUAAAUAUGGAGAGAAGCACAGAGGCUGAUGCAAGGAUCUCUAGUUUGAAAGAUACCUGGUGAUUUGCAAAGAUCAAAGAGGAUGCACAAGAUAGACUUUGAAAAGAAGCAACAGUUAUCUGCAAGAAAAGAACUCCCAUUGCAGAUAGUAACUCCAAAUGUAUUGAAUUUGGAAAGUUAGUUUGAAGUAUGACUUUGUUAUAAAACCAAUACAUCCUGAAGAGGAAAUACAUUAUACAUAUGAUGCUCCAGGAAAGAGCUCCAAGCAGACUUCAAAA